rnacentral:rRNA from 1 species
GAUCAUAACCCUUUGCUGUCCGACUCUGUUGCCUCCGGGGCGACCCUGCCUCCGGGCGGGGGCCCCGGGUGGACACAUUCAAACUCUUGCGUAACUUUGCAGUCUGAGUAAAUUUAAUUAAUAAAUUAAAACUUUCAACAACGGAUCUCUUGGUUCUGGCAUCGAUGAAGAACGCAGCGAAAUGCGAUAAGUAAUGUGAAUUGCAGAAUUCAGUGAAUCAUCGAAUCUUUGAACGCACAUUGCGCCCCCUGGUAUUCCGGGGGGCAUGCCUGUUCGAGCGUCAUUUCACCACUCAAGCCUCGCUUGGUAUUGGGCGACGCGGUCCGCCGCGCGCCUCAAAUCGACCGGCUGGGUCUUCUGUCCCCUCAGCGUUGUGGAAACUAUUCGCUAAAGGGUGCCACGGGAGGUCACGCCGUAAAACAAGCCCAUUUCUAAGGUUGACCUCGGAUCAGGUAGGGAUACCCGCUGAACUUAAGCAUAUCA